AGAUUCUGAAAUUAUAAUAAAAAAAGAAUCCAAAAUUCUUCAUUAAAUUCCCGUUUUUUUAACGCGUAACAAACGAAUUCAACAAUUGAUGUUGUUGUUGUUGUUGCGUAGUUUUGCUCUUGGACGAAGAGUGCGAUUUGGAAAGCGAUUCGAAGAUGUUUUUUGAUGGUAGAGAGUAUCGACCCCUGCCCCAUCCUCAUGGGGAGGGAUUGGAUGUGGAUGUGCGAAGAUUCGUCAGUCCACAAAAUUUGGAUUAUGUUAAGUUUCGAGGCAGAAAGUUGAAGAAAGGCCUCUCGAAGCAGUACGAACCCUCGCCCGGUGCUUUCGAAGGUUUGGACGUUUUUGAAAAUAACAUCAAGCCUGCUUAUAGAAAAGCUGUGAUGAAGGUUCGACCAAUCUGUCAAACGGCCUGCCAACGUUUUAACAGUUUGAGAUUGGUCGAAGAUGUGGAAGAUGAAGGAGUGAACAAUAGAGAGAGCGUGAUUCCUCCACGAAGCACCAAAGAGAACGAAGACCCGACAAAGCACGAAGAUUGCGUGCAAGAUAAUCCUGGCCAUUACAGGGAUAGAAAUACAUUGAAGAAAGUCGGGUCGUUCUUUAAGAGCAUGUGGAAACCCGUUAAGAGAUCCGUGCAGAAGGUGUGUAAAAUGGCCAGAAGUGGAGAAUGCGAGUACGUUCGGUUCGAGUAAGGAUCUCUUUGCUUCCAUCUGUCAAAUUCGACAAUAAGAUCUGCUCUGUGAUUUGCUGGAUCUGGGCCGAGUUGGCUAAUUAUAUGGUUUUUUCUGCAAACCAUCGAUGACUUCUCCUGAUUUUGACAUCCCGAUUGCGUCAAUGCCAAGUUCGAUUAUGACUUCCCAAUUUUGACUUUAUCCCGGCUGUGUCUCCUUAUUAUUGUCUUUUAGUCAAUUAUCAUUUACCCGAAUUGGUCUACACGAAUUUGGACUCUCGAUUUAUGUCUACUUCACGAAUCUGGACUCUCCCGAAUUACGUCUACCCCGAAUUUGACUCCUCAAUUGUGCCUGUACUCGAAUUGGACUCUCCCGAAUUAUGUCAACCCCGGAUUUGACUCAUGAAUGGUGUCUGCACUCGAAUAUGGACUCUCCCGAAUUACGUCUAUCUCGAAUUUGACUUCAGAAUCCUGUCUAUAUUGGAAUUUGGACUCUUCCGGCUUGUGUCUGUGCUCAAAUUUGACUCCCAAUUUUUGUCAUCCCUGGAACUUGGACUCUCCGGAAUUGUGUUUUAAUUUGUUAUUGGAACGA
rnacentral:misc_RNA from 1 species